GAAUACUCUUGGUGACCGAUAGCGGAUAGUACCGUGAGGGAAUGGUGAAAAGUACCCCGGGAGGGGAGUGAAAGAGUACCUGAAACCGUGUGCCUACAAUCCGUCAGAGCCCUUGUGUGGGGUGAUGGCGUGCCUUUUGAAGAAUGAGCCUGCGAGUUAGUGGCAUGUGGCGAGGUUAACCCGUGUGGGGAAGCCGCAGCGAAAGCGAGUCCGAAUAGGGCGUGUCAGUCGUGUGUCCUAGACCCGAAGCGGAGUGAUCUAGCCAUGGGCAGGGUGAAGCGCCGGUAAGACGGCGUGGAGGCCCGAACCCACCUAGGUUGAAAACUGGGGGGAUGAUCUGUGGUUAGGGGUGAAAGGCCAAUCAAACUCUGUGAUAGCUGGUUCUCCCCGAAAUGCAUUUAGGUGCAGCGUCACGUGGUGCUUUGCGGAGGUAGAGCGACUGGAUGACUGAUGGGCCCGCGAGGGUUACUGACGUCAGCUAAACUCCGAAUGCCGUGAAGUCAGCGUGGCAGUGAGACUGCG
rnacentral:rRNA from 1 species